rnacentral:misc_RNA from 1 species
GUGGGAGCGAGCCUGCUCGCGAUUGCGGCGGGUCAGCCAACCUUUAUUUGACUGACACACCGCAAUCGCGAGCAGGCUCGCUCCCAC